rnacentral:rRNA from 1 species
GAUGAACGCUGGCGGCGUGCCUAAUACAUGCAAGUCGAGCGAACAGACGAGGAGCUUGCUCCUCUGACGUUAGCGGCGGACGGGUGAGUAACACGUGGAUAACCUACCUAUAAGACUGGGAUAACUUCGGGAAACCGGAGCUAAUACCGGAUAAUAUAUUGAACCGCAUGGUUCAAUAGUGAAAGACGGUUUUGCUGUCACUUAUAGAUGGAUCCGCGCCGCAUUAGCUAGUUGGUAAGGUAACGGCUUACCAAGGCAACGAUGCGUAGCCGACCUGAGAGAGUGAUCGGCCACACAGGAAAUGAGACACGGUCCAGACUCCUACGGGAGGCAGAAGUAGGGAAUCUUCCGCAAAGGGCGAAAGACUGACGGAGAAAAGCCGCGUGAGUGAUGAAGGUCUUCGGAUCGUAAAACUCUGUUAUUAGGGAAGAACAAAUGUGUAAGUAACUAUGCACGUCUUGACGGUACAUAAUCAGAAAGACACGGCUAACUACGUG